CAAAGAAGACACAGGACUUAAUUUCUAACAGUGGACAGACUGAGAUGAUCCUAAUCCUUAUGUUAUGUUUGUAGAGUCCAGAGUUAAAAUUUAAUACAAACCAGCAAAAACAGAUAUGUCUAGAACUACAUUCAGCUUAAAAUCUGUUUUCCUUUCCCUUUACAAGCUGAUCAGCGGUGGUAAGCCCGGAACACAUGCAUGGAAUUUAUGCAUUGUUAUAUCGACUUACUUUACAGAGACAGUCUUGAAUUCAUCGUAUGAAACCACAUUAGGAACAGUGCAGAUGUAUAUUUGCCAUCACUCUCACCUUUCCACAGAGAGUCUCCACAGUGGCUUUACCACCCUCUCUCUUGAUGAGUUUCCCCUUGAGGUACAUCUCGCUGGCCUCACUCACAAAGUAAGCUGUCUUAGCAUCAAAGGGAGUGUUCUGAGCUUCAAUUCUCUCUCUUUCUGGCUUCCGGAGGUAAAUGGCUGCCGCGCCAAAACACUCCAUUUCUGAGUCCCCGCUCAUGGUGAUCCUUUACUGCAAAAACAGAUGAUGAUGAUGAUGGUUCACUGAGGUCCUGAAGAAAGAAAGACAAAUAGUUUAAAUUAAUAACUGUAAUUAAGGCGUUUCACAUAAAGAAAAUAAACUUACAGUACACUGAAGUUCGGGCAUAAACACAGAAGUUCUGUAUUCACUUUGCAGUAUCUGGCAAUGAGUGAUCAUGCCCCGCAUUGUUCAUUAAGCUGCUGGCUUUCCUCCUGCUAAUAAAAGACUGUAACUC